GACGAACGCUGGCGGCGUGCUUAACACAUGCAAGUCGAACGGAAAGGCCCUGCUUUUGUGGGGUGCUCGAGUGGCGAACGGGUGAGUAACACGUGAGUAACCUGCCCUUGACUUUGGGAUAACUUCAGGAAACUGGGGCUAAUACCGGAUAGGAGCUCCUGCUGCAUGGUGGGGGUUGGAAAGUUUCGGCGGUUGGGGAUGGACUCGCGGCUUAUCAGCUUGUUGGUGGGGUAGUGGCUUACCAAGGCUUUGACGGGUAGCCGGCCUGAGAGGGUGACCGGCCACAUUGGGACUGAGAUAGGGCACAGACUCCUACGGGAGGCAGCAGUGGGGAAUAUUGCACAAUGGGCGGAAGCCUGAUGCAGCAACGCCGCGUGCGGGAUGACGGCCUUCGGGUUGUAAACCGCUUUCGCCUGUGACGAAGCGUGAGUGACGGUAAUGGGUAAAGAAGCACCGGCUAACUACGUG
rnacentral:rRNA from 1 species